AUUGAACGCUGGCGGCAGGCCUAACACAUGCAAGUCGAGCGGAGCGCCGGACGGGUGCGUAAUGCCUAGGAAUCUGACUGGGAGUGGGGGAUAACGUCCGGAAACGGGCGCUAAUACUGAAUCCUAUCGGAUGCGCAUAGGUCGGAUUAGCUAGUUGUAGGGGUAAAGGCCUACCUAGGCGAAGAUCCGUACCUGGUCUGGGAGGAUGAUCAGUCACACUGGAACUGAUACAAGUGCAAGACUCCUACGGUAGGCAGCAGUGGUGAAUAUUGUACAAUGGGCGAAAGCCUGAUCCAGCCAUGCCGCGUGUAUGAAGAAGGUCUUCGGAUUGUAAAGUACUUUAAGUGGGGAGGCGUUACCAACAGAAUAAGCACCGGCUAACUUCGUGCCAGCAGCCGCGGUAAUAC
rnacentral:rRNA from 1 species